CCUACGGGGUGCUGCAGUGAGGAAUAUUGGUCAAUGGACGAGAGUCUGAACCAGCCAAGUAGCGUGAAGGAUGACUGCCCUAUGGGUUGUAAACUUCUUUUAUAUGGGAAUAAAAUGUUCCACGUGUGGGAUUUUGUAUGUACCAUAUGAAUAAGGAUCGGCUAACUCCGUGCCAGCAGCCGAGGUAAUACGGAGGAUCCGAGCGUUAUCCGGAUUUAUUGGGUUUAAGGGGAGCGUAGGUGGAUUGUUAAGUCAGUUGUGAAAGUUUGCGGCUCAACCGUAAAAUUGCAGUUGAAACUGGCAGUCUUGAGUACAGUAGAGGUGGGCGGAAUUCGUGGUGUAGCGGUGAAAUGCUUAGAUAUCACGAAGAACUCCGAUUGCGAAGGCAGUUCACUGGACUGCAACUGACACUGAGGCUCGAAAGUGUGGGUAUCAAACAGGAUUAGAUACCCCUGUAGUC
rnacentral:rRNA from 1 species